rnacentral:hammerhead_ribozyme from 1 species
ACAAGCUGACGUAUCGCAAAUAAGAUGAAACGAGCGUCCUGGAU